AUUGAACGCUGGCGGCAUGCUUUACACAUGCAAGUCGAACGGUAACAGGCCUUCUGGUGCUGACGAGUGUCGAACGGGUGAGUAAUGCAUCGGAACGUACCCAGAGGUGUGGGAUAACGCAGCGAAAGCGGUGCUAAUACUGCAUGUGAUCUGAGUAUGAAAGCGGGGGACCGAGCAGCAAUAUUUGGCCUCGCGCCUUUGUAGCGACCGAUGUCGGAUUAGCUAGUUGGUGGGGUAAGGGCCUACCAAGGCAACGAUCCGUAGCUGGUCUGAGAGGACGAUCAGCCACACUGGGACUGAGACACGGCCCAGACUCCUACGGGAGGCAGCAGUAGGGAAUCUUGGGCAAUGGGCGAAAGCCUGACGGAGCAAUGCCGCGUGAGGGAAGAAGGCCUUCGGGUCGUAAAACGCUGUUAGUAGGAAAGAACAGGUGUGUGAUAAUCCAGGGAGGUAAUGACGGUACCUGAAGAGAAAGCAACGGCUAACUACGUG
rnacentral:rRNA from 1 species